UACAGAGGGGGCAAGCGUUGUUCGGAAUUACUGGGCGUAAAGGGCGCGUAGGCGGCCUUCUAAGUCGAACGUGAAAUCCCCGGGCUCAACCCGGGAACUGCGUCCGAUACUGGAAGGCUUGAAUCCGGGAGAGGGAUGCGGAAUUCCAGGUGUAGCGGUGAAAUGCGUAGAUAUCAGGAGGAACACCGGUGGCGAAGGCGGGACUCUGGGCCGAUACUGACGCUGAGGAGCGAAAGCGUGGGGAGCAAACAGG
rnacentral:rRNA from 1 species